UGGGGAAUUUUGGACAAUGGGCGCAAGCCUGAUCCAGCAAUGCCGCGUGCAGGAAGAAGGCCUUCGGGUUGUAAACUGCUUUUGUACGGAACGAAACGGCUCUUUCAAAUAAAGAGGGCUAAUGACGGUACCGUAAGAAUAAGCACCGGCUAACUACGUGCCAGCAGCCGCGGUAAUACGUAGGGUGCGAGCGUUAAUCGGAAUUACUGGGCGUAAAGCGUGCGCAGGCGGUGAUGCAAGACAGUUGUGAAAUCCCGGGGCUCAACCUGGGAAUUGCAUCUGUGACUGCAUCGCUAGAGUACGGUAGAGGGGGAUGGAAUUCCGCGUGUAGCGGUGAAAUGCGUAGAUAUGCGGAGGAACACCGAUGGCGAAGGCAAUCCCCUGGACCUGUACUGACGCUCAUGCACGAAAGCGUGGGGAUCAAACA
rnacentral:rRNA from 1 species